UGGUGGAGUGAUUUGUCUGGUUAAUUCCGAUAACGAACGAGACUUUACCCUGCUAAAUAGUACGUCAGUAUUUGUACCUUCGGGUAUACUUGCUGGCGCUGACUUCUUAGAGGGAUUGGUAGUAUUCAAAUUACACGAAACAAAGCAAUAACA
rnacentral:rRNA from 1 species